UCUCUCUCUCUCUCUCUCUCUCUCUCUCUCUCUGUGUGUGUGUGUGUGUGUGUGAGAGAGAGAGAGAGAGAGAGAGAGAGA